UAUGGUAUUAACAGCAGCUACGUGUCCUGUGCUUCUCUUCCCCAGCACUAGACUUGUGGUUCCUCCUCCUUCGCCUGUAUUUUCCAAAAUGCAGACCUGGGAGAAGACACACGAUUGAUGGGGGUUGGAAAGAAGAUGGAAACAAUUCAAAGAGAAAACUCAACCCACUUUCCUGGGAUUCAUGGUACUAUUUACCAUGAGUCAACAGAUCUGCUAUUCAACAGAUGCGAACUUGGAGUAAUUACUCCGCACGCUCGGUGCUGUAAAGCCAUCCAAGACGUGUGCUCUGCUGUCAUCAACUAGCCCAAUAACGGCGGUUAGCAGCCACAAGGAAAUCUUGCACACCAAGAUCAAAAGGACCCUAUUGGCAUCAGGCAUCUUGGCACCAAGCUAGAUUUACACACGCUGACAUGUCAAAGCCUUGAAACAGAAACUUCAGAACUUCCUCAUGAAUAGUGAAGGCAACUCAUUGACUUCAUACUAACUCAAAGCACAUCUUUCCAGGGACAGCAUUCAACCAUGCAAACAGCAAAAGUGGGCAAACAAAGCCUGAAUAUGUACUUGGAAGUGAAAGUCUUAAGCAGAACAAAAUAGGAGUCAGCUUCCCAAGCUGCCAAGUUUCUGAUAGGAAUCCAAGACUGAACACAAAAUAGGGGGUAAGGAGUAUAUUGAAUGGCAAUUUUGACUGAUGGGACAGCUUAAGCAUUAAGCAAUAGCCCCCAUUCCAGAAGCAUGAUCACAGACUCCCCUGGCCUGGCUUCUCAGGCUGGGCAAGAGAGCCAGGGGGACAGGACUCCUCCAUCUGGUCCUUGGCACCAGCCUUCUUUCUGCUCCAUCUUGCAGUGCGAAUCUGCUCAGGCCCUGGUGUCCUCUCCAACUUCUCUUCCUCGCUGUGCUGCUAUGUUUCUUCAGUGCACGCAUUCUGCACGGCAUCUCACAGCUGUAUUAGUCAUUGGUGGACACUUCAGAAGGGCACUCCACACAACAGCUGUUCUGCUGAAUGACCCCAAUUAUUAGUACUAGUCUCAGGUACAACUGUUUCAGCGAGUCCAAAUUUUACUGCAGGACUUAAAAACUCCUAAAGUUUCACUAUUCCUUACCAACUACUCCUUUGCUUAGCAACUGAAAGACACUCUCAUUCUUUUAUCUGUUUUCUUUGGCCUGACCAGAGCCCAGAGUGCUAGAGCGUAUGCCUGCGUCAACGGGUUCCCACUUCAGUACAAUUCAAGCAAAACAACUUGAAAAGGUGCCAAACUAUUUUGGGAUUGGGCAGACAAUAGUGACCCUUCAUGAUUCCAUGAAUAAUGUGUAAAUAGGGAACAUACUUCUAAGGUCAAAGAAAAGAAAAAAAUUAGAAGUAAUUGCCUAAAGAGAAAAGAGAGGUGUAAGAUUUUAGCAGGGCAAAUUGUAUUCAAAGUGGAGAUCAUACUCUGGUCACACAGAAAGUUUAGAGUUUUCAUGUUUCUGGUGGCAAAAUUGUGUUAAUUACAGUUAUUUGUCUGGAAGGUUCUGACUCUGCAGUCACAGAACUGUGGUGAAGUAUUGUAUCUAACUCUUCUGUUUGCCUUUUCUAUUACCAAGUGAUUAUUCAAUUAUGUGAAUAAAAAUAUGUGAUGUAGUAGUGAAUAUAACUUACUUCACUUCACCAAAACUGGGUCAGAACUUUUAAUGAAGAAAAUAUUCCAAAAAACCCACUUUUCUUUUUUAGAUAUUCUCGUGGUUGUGUAGUAGUGUCUCCUGAUUUU